AGUGAACGCUGGCGGUAGGCCUAACACAUGCAAGUCGAACGGCAGCACAGGAGAGCUUGCUCUCUGGGUGGCGAGUGGCGGACGGGUGAGGACUACAUCGGAAUCUACUUUUUCGUGGGGGAUAACGUAGGGAAACUUACGCUAAUACCGCAUACGACCUGCGGGUGAAAGCAGGGGACCUUCGGGCCUUGCGCGAUUGAAUGAGCCGAUGUCAGAUUAGCUAGUUGGCGGGGUAAAGGCCCCCCAAGGCGACGAUCCGUAGCUGGUCUGAGAGGAUGAGCAGCCACGCUGGAACUGAGACACGGUCCAGACUCCUACGGGAGGCAGCAGUGGGGAAUAUGGGACAAUGGGCGCAAGCCUGAUCCAGCCAUACCGCGUGUGUGAAGAAGGCCUUCGGGUUGUAAAGCCCUUUUGUUGGGAAAGAAAUCCAGCUGGCUAAUACCCGGUUGGGAUGACGGUACCCAAAGAAUAAGCACCGGCUAACUUCGUGCCAGCAGCCGCGGUAA
rnacentral:rRNA from 1 species